rnacentral:lncRNA from 1 species
GUGCUGAUAAAAUGGAAGGCACAGAUAAAAAAAAUUUGAGAAUAUAAUUGAUUUUUCAAAAAAAUAUUUUUAAUAAAUUUUUUUAUGUACAUUUUUUAGAUAUCAAGCAUAAACAAAUAGACUUGUGUAUCUGCAUAUUAUUGAAACCAAGGGGCUCUAGGACAUAUUGUAUUAAUAAAUUUACUUAUAAGAAAUGAUGUUAAUAAACAAAGAAUUUCAGCACUUACUUUCAGCAGAUAAUGACUUGAAUGAAAUGUCAGCGUACCUCAGUGUAACAACUCAGACAAUAGGGACAAGAUUACAAGAGCAUAGACGGGAUAUUAUUCGGGGGAAUCUGAAUACGGCGCUAGCCAGGAAGUGUACAGCAGGAAUGUCACGAUGGAUUGGAAAAAUGUAAGACAGAUAAGACCGCUCCGCAGCCAGGAAAACCCAAUAGUAGUGGAAUCCUUAGAGAUAUUAAAAAGA